rnacentral:tRNA from 1 species
AGAAACGGGGAAUCAACCCUCCCCCAUAGACUC